rnacentral:rRNA from 1 species
UACGAAGGGGGCUAGCGUUGCUCGGAAUCACUGGGCGUAAAGGGUGCGUAGGCGGGUCUUUAAGUCCGGGGUGAAAUCCUGGAGCCCAACUCCAGAACUGCCUUUGAUACUGAAGAUCUUGAGUUCGGGAGAGGUGAGUGGAACUGCGAGUGUAGAGGUGAAAUUCGUAGAUAUUCGCAAGAACACCAGUGGCGAAGGCGGCUCACUGGCCCGAUACUGACGCUGAGGCACGAAAGCGUGGGGAGCAAACAGG